rnacentral:lncRNA from 1 species
AAAUACACAGGACGACGGGUCAGGUCGUUACAACCUAGUAUGAGAGGUAACCUUUCUUCAGCAAACUAUUAGACGAAAGCAUUCACAGACUCGUCAUAAGCAGUCCAAAUAAUCAAAUGUAGUCCAUAAAAUCAUAUUACAGUCCAGAUUAACCACAAUAAAAUACAAUAAAGCAUUGCUCAACAGAAAAUCUUAACAAAACUACGCUUCAACUUCAUUUCACUUUAUAACUAGAGAUCUAAAUUGUGAUAAAUUCAGGAUGUGUACCUGGUUUUUAUAACACAAUAAGAAGGAAGAGGAAUUAGCAUUAGUGAGCAAUAAUCAACACCUAAACCAAACAGCAACAAGACAAGUUUUAGAACCCAAAAAAAUUGCUAGAAACUCAGGACUGAUUUGCAGAAGAAAGAACACCAAUAAACCACUGAAAAUAGAUCAGAAUGAGCCAUAAUAAACUAUAAUUCAACCCAGUAUUCUCUGAAUUUGACCAACGAGAUCUGGAAACCUUCAAACCAUUUUUUGCUACUCUAUGAACUGAGAAUUUGAUCUAAAACUGGAUUUCGAACUUAAUCUAAGAGGAUUUCAAUGGAAUAGUAUUGUUUUUGGUUUUUUUUGUGCUAUUCUUGGGUUUUCUGAAGAUUUAUGAUCUAAAAGGAAUUUUCUAACUUCUAAAUUUCAGAUUUGGUUAUUGGAAUUUGAAAUUCAAAAUUCAUAUGGUUCAAACUUGUGAAACGAUGCAGUGUGGACAGCCUUUUAUAGGUAAAAGCUGAG